GAAUUUUGGGCAAUGGGCGAAAGCCUGACCCAGCAACGCCGCGUGAAGGAGGAAAUCCUUCGGGAUGUAAACUUCACAAGCAAGGGAAGAGCGCGAGGGGGUUAAUAACUCCCUCGUCCGACGGUACCUUGCGUAAGCCACGGCUAACUACGUGCCAGCAGCCGCGGUAAUACGUAGGUGGCAAGCGUUGUUCGGAAUUAUUGGGCGUAAAGGGCGCGUAGGCGGUUCGUUAAGUCGGCUGUGAAAGCCCGGGGCUCAACCCCGGAGGGUCGGCCGAUACUGGCGAACUAGAGUACGGAAGAGGUAGCUGGAAUUCCCGGUGUAGCGGUGAAUGCGUAGAUAUCGGGAGGAACACCUGAGGCGAAGGCGGGCUACUGGGCCGAUACUGACGCUGAUGCGCGAAAGCCAGGGGAGCGAACGGG
rnacentral:rRNA from 1 species